rnacentral:rRNA from 1 species
AUUGAACGCUGGCGGCAGGCUUAACACAUGCAAGUCGAGUGGGGGAAGUUGCUUCGGUAAUUGACCUAGCGGCGGACGGGUGAGUAAUACUUAGGAAUCUGCCUAUUAAUGGGGGACAACAUCUCGAAAGGGAUGCUAAUACCGCAUACGCCCUACGGGGGAAAGCAGGGGAUCACUUGUGACCUUGCGUUAAUAGAUGAGCCUAAGUCGGAUUAGCUAGUUGGUGGGGUAAAGGCCUACCAAGGCGACGAUCUGUAGCGGGUCUGAGAGGAUGAUCCGCCACACUGGGACUGAGACACGGCCCAGACUCCUACGGGAGGCAGCGGUGGGGAAUAUUGGACAAUGGGGGGAACCCUGAUCCAGCCAUGCCGCGUGUGUGAAGAAGGCCUUAUGGUUGUAAAGCACUUUAAGCGAGGAGGAGGCUCUUUUGGUUAAUACCCAAGAUGAGUGGACGUUACUCGCAGAAUAAGCACCGGCUAACUCUGUGCCAGCCGCCGCGGUAAAAC